rnacentral:rRNA from 1 species
UACGAAGGGGGCUAGCGUUGUUCGGAAUUACUGGGCGUAAAGGGCGCGUAGGCUGUGCUGUAAGUCAGGCGUGAAAUCCCCGGGCUCAACCUGGGAAUUGCGCAUGAUACUGCGGCGCUGGAAGGCGGGAGAGGAUGGCGGAAUUCCCAGUGUAGAGGUGAAAUGCGUAGAUAUUGGGAAGAACACCGGUGGCGAAGGCGGCUCACUGGUCCGCAACUGACGCUGAGGUGCGAAAGCGUGGGGAGCAAACAGG